rnacentral:lncRNA from 1 species
UCUCACCAAAAUUUCUCAUUCCCAACUUCUUCCCUUUUCUUUUCUUUUUCAUUGAGCUCAUCUUCAUGCUUUUCUUCUUUUCUUUUCUUUUUCUCAUGAAUUUUUCUCUUUUCACAACAAUUGAGCUCAAUGCCUUUUACUUGCUUUUUCAAUUUUCCCCCGUACAACCCCAAACUUGAACCUUUUCAUCACAUACAAUUAAGCUCAUCCCAACUCAAGG